CCUACGGGAGGCAGCAGUAGGGAAUCUUCCACAAUGGGCGAAAGCCUGAUGGAGCAACGCCGCGUGAGUGAUGAAGGCCUUCGGGUUGUAAAACUCUGUCAUUCGGGACGAACCGGAGUCUGAGGAAAUGCAGACUCUCUGACGGUACCGGAGGAGGAAGCCCCGGCUAACUACGUGCCAGUAGCCGCGGUAAUACGUAGGGGGCAAGCGUUGUCCGGAUUCACUGGGCGUAAAGCGCGCGCAGGCGGUGAUGUAAGUCUGAGGUGAAAACCCGAAGCUCAACUUCGGGACUGCCUUGGAUACUGCGUCACUUGAGGAUAGGAGAGGCAAGGGGAAUUCCACGUGUAGCGGUGAAAUGCGUAGAGAUGUGGAGGAACACCUGUGGCGAAGGCGCCUUGCUGGCCUAUUUCUGACGCUGAGGCGCGAAAGCGUGGGGAGCAAACAGGAUUAGAUACCCUGGUAGUCCACGCUGUAAACGAUGAGUGCUAGGUGUAGGUGGGCUCAUACCCAUCUGUGCCGAAGCUAAACGCAUUAAGCAACUCCGCCUUGGGGGAGGUACGGUUCGGCGAAGACGNGAAACGUUAAAAUUAAGUUAAGUUAGUUACGGCGUUGAGACGUUGCCGAACGGACGACCGACCGAAGGGGAAGGUAAGGAG
rnacentral:rRNA from 1 species